UUGUUUGUGCAAGCAUAAGGCGAGUACCUUAUAUUGAAAAUAUGGUGUCGAUUUACUAAAGCUUGGAUGCUGCAUUUGUUGCCAAUGUCUCUUUGUCAUUGUCUUCAGCUGCAGGAAGAUCAUUGGAGCAGUCUCCUGUCUGUUAAAGAUUCUCAACAAGUCAAUUCAGUUGCCAAUGUGAGUUUCUUGUUUGCCCAUUCAUUUACCUAACAAUUUU